CAGCAGCCGCGGUAAUACGGAGGGGGCUAGCGUUGUUCGGAAUUACUGGGCGUAAAGCGCACGUAGGCGGCUUGGUAAGUUAGAGGUGAAAGCCUGGAGCUCAACUCCAGAAUUGCCUUUAAGACUGCCGAGCUAGUAGGUGAGAGAGGUAAGUGGAAUUCCGAGUGUAGAGGUGAAAUUCAUAGAUAUUCGGAAGAACACCAGUGGCGAAGGCGGCUUACUGGCUCAUUCUAGACGCUGAGGUGCGAAAGCGUGGGGAGCAAACAGGAUUAGAUACCCGCGUAGUCCCUGUCUCUUAUAC
rnacentral:rRNA from 1 species